rnacentral:piRNA from 1 species
AAAAAAUAAUGUAAGAAUAUCUGGGU